GAUGAACGCUGGCGGCGUGCCUAAUACAUGCAAGUCGAGCGAACGGACUAGAAGCUUGCUUCUCUGAUGUUAGCGGCGGACGGGUGAGUAACACGUGGAUAACCUACCUAUAAGACUGGGAUGACUUCGGGAAACCGUAGCUAAUACCGGAUAAUAUUUUGAACCGCAUGGUUCAAAAGUGAAAGACGGUCUUGCUGUCACUUAUAGAUGGAUCCGCGCUGCAUUAGCUAGUUGGUAAGGUAACGGCUUACCAAGGCAACGAUGCAUAGCCGACCUGAGAGGGUGAUCGGCCACACUGGAACUGAGACACGGUCCAGACUCCUACGGGAGGCAGCAGUAGGGAAUCUUCCGCAAUGGGCGAAAGCCUGACGGAGCAACGCCGCGUGAGUGAUGAAGGUCUUCGGAUCGUAAAACUCUGUUAUUAGGGAAGAACAUAUGUGUAAGUAACUGUGCACAUCUUGACGGUACCUAAUCAGAAAGCCACGGCUAACUACGUG
rnacentral:rRNA from 1 species